UACGAAGGGGGCGAGCGUUGUUCGGAAUCAUUGGGCGUAAAGGGCGCGUAGGCGGGUUUGUAAGUCGAUUGUGAAAUCCCUGGGCUUAACCUGGGAAUUGCAGUCGAAACUGCAAGUCUUGAGUUCUCGAGAGGAUGGUGGAAUUCCUGGAGUAGUAGUGAAAUACGUAGAUAUCAGGAGGAACACCGGAGGCGAAGGCGGCCAUCUGGCGAGACACUGACGCUAAGGCGCGAAAGCGUGGGUAGCAAAC
rnacentral:rRNA from 1 species